rnacentral:lncRNA from 1 species
UAUCAUGUUAAUAUGACAUUAAUUAGUUUAUAUCAACUUUAUAGGAAAGGAAAAAGCUAAAAAGGGGGCUUUGGAAUCAGUUAAGCACUAGAGUGUGCGGUAGCUAAUUCGAGGUGAGUGAAUUUCAUAUAAUUUUGGUAUUUUCAUCAUGUUUUGCUGUAAAAAGGAUUUAUUUAAAAGCAAUCAGAUUUGUUAUUGUUUUAUGGCUUAGAUAUGAAUGUGUAUGCAAGCAUGUAAAUGCAAGAGACUUUCUACUGAUGAGAUUCUUAUGAAAAGUAUGAAUGUGUGAUUGGCAUGGACAGCAUAAUGCUUGGCAUGAAAUUUAUUCUAACCUAGUUUAUUUGCAUAUGUGUGUAUUGAUGAACAAUGCUAUAUUACGCUGUGGGGGAACUAAUUAGCGAACCAAAUCUGUGGCAAUGAGCCUGUGGCAAGAUUAUGAGCCUGUGGUGAUAAACCUGUGGCGAUAUCAAAACCUAUGGCAGAAGAGCAUGCCUGUGGCCAAAUAACCCAAAUGGUGUGUUAUGCAUUUGUUGCCAAUGAGUGCACCUGUGAUAACAUAACCAAGUGCCUGUGGAAAUAAUCUGUGGUGAGAAUUAUGCUCCUGUGGCCAAGGAGAGCACCUGUGGUAGCAUAAUAAUAUGCAUGUGGUGAUAAACUUGUGGCAA